AACGCGAAGAACCUUACCAAGGCUUGACAUCCCUCUGACCGAUUUAGAGAUAGAUCUUUCCCUUCGGGGACAGAGGUGACAGGUGGUGCAUGGUUGUCGUCAGCUCGUGUCGUGAGAUGUUGGGUUAAGUCCCGCAACGAGCGCAACCCUUAUCUUUAGUUGCCAGCAUUUAGUUGGGCACUCUAGAGAGACUGCCGGUGACAAACCGGAGGAAGGUGGGGAUGACGUCAAAUCAUCAUGCCCCUUAUGUCUUGGGCUACACACGUGCUACAAUGGUUGGUACAAAGGGCUGCAAGCCAGCGAUGGUUAGCCAAUCCCAUAAAGCCAAUCUCAGUUCGGAUUGUAGGCUGCAACUCGCCUACAUGAAGUCGGAAUCGCUAGUAAUCGCAGAUCAGCAUGCUGCGGUGAAUACGUUCCCGGGCCUUGUACACACCGGAGUGC
rnacentral:rRNA from 1 species